rnacentral:rRNA from 1 species
UACGGGGGGGGCAAGCGUUGUUCGGAAUUACUGGGCGUAAAGGGCUCGUAGGCGGCCAACUAAGUCGGAUGUGAAAUCCCCAGGCUUAACCUGGGAACUGCAUCCGAUACUGGAUGGCUUGAAUCCGGGAGAGGGAUGCAGAAUUCCAGGUGUAGCGGUGAAAUGCGUAGAUAUCUGGAGGAAUACCAGUGGCGAAGGCGGUUCUCUGGACCUUGCCUGACGCUGAGGAGCGAAAGCGUGGGGAGCGAACAGG